GAUGAACGCUGGCGGCGUGCCUAAUACAUGCAAGUCGAGCGAACGGACGAGAAGCUUGCUUCUCUGAUGUUAGCGGCGGACGGGUGAGUAACACGUGGAUAACCUACCUAUAAGACUGGGAUAACUUCGGGAAACCGUAGCUAAUACCGGAUAAUAUUUUGAACCGCAUGGUUCAAAAGUGAAAGACGGUCUUGCUGUCACUUAUAGAUGGAUCCGCGCUGCAUUAGCUAGUUGGUAAGGUAACGGCUUACCAAGGCAACGAUGCAUAGCCGACCUGAGAGGGUGAUCGGCCACACUGGAACUGAAACACGGUCCAGACUCCUACGGGAGGCAGCAGUAGGGAAUCUUCCGAAAUGGGCGAAAGCCUGACGGAGCAACGCCGGGUGAGUGAUGAAGGUCUUCGGAUCGUAAAACUCUGUUAUUAGGGAAGAACAUAUAUGUAAGUAACUGUGCACAUCUUGACGGUACCUAAUCAGAAAGCCACGGCUAACUACGUG
rnacentral:rRNA from 1 species